rnacentral:rRNA from 1 species
AACGUAGGAGACAAACGUUAUCCGGAGUUACUGGGCGUAAAGGGCGUGUAGGCGGUUGGUUAAGUCUGGCGUGAAAGCUCUCGGCCAAACCGGGAGAGGUCGUUGGAUACUGGCCGACUAGAGGACGGUAGAGGCGUGUGGAAUUCCGGGUGUAGUGGUGAAAUGCGUAGAGAUCCGGAGGAACACCAGUGGCGAAGGCGACACGCUGGGCCGUACCUGACGCUAAAGCGCGACAGCAUGGGGAGCAAACGGG